ACAAGUGGACUGUUGGGCGCGCGAUGGUGGCCAAUUAGACACCCAGAUCGUGUAUCGCGUGUGAACGCUGAGGUCCACUGCGUCGCGCGCGUAAGCUAGCGGGAAACCCGACUCAUGUCAGUUCGCAGCCGCCGCGCCGUAGCUAGCAGGUUCGCCUUGGGAAUCGCGCCGCGCGCCACCACAAUCAGAAUCAGUCUCCUCGGAGUCAACAAGAGAAUCGGUACCUCGAUCAGUCUCGCCGUCAACAAGUGGAUCCUUACAUCGCGCGCUGUUAUUUUGUGUGAUUAUCUGGUGAUUUUGUGAUGAUCGCGGGUGAUUUCAGGAUGUGAACGGAAUCGCCGAGAUGAGCGUUUUCUCGCUGCGGUGGAUUUUUGUGCUCUGUGUUGGUGUUAGUGUCGAUGUGCUCGCUCAGGAUUUUGAGGGGGGCGCCCCGAGGGACUCGGCGCCCCCUCGCCGACAGACAGUUGGCAAAAGGUGCGCGAACGACCACGGGCUGAUCGGAACUUGCAAGCUCCCAUGGCAGUGCAGUUCCCUGAAGACGCAGCUGGCGAACAAACAGCACCCGAACAUGUGCGGUUUCGACAAUGUCAUCGGCGUCCCUAUCAUCUGCUGCGCCUUCGGCAAUGAACCCGAUGACCAAUCGACCAGCACCACAGACGAAUCCCAUGGAUUCGACUUCGAUGACCCAACGGGCGACUUCUUGAAGAAGUAUAUUCUAUGGCAAGCGGAGCUCCACCAGAAGGAGAACGAAGCUUUGGCCACAACGACAGUCAGGACCACAACCACAACCAGGCGAACGAUGAUGGACGCCAGGGAAGAAUUAAUCGCACGUAGACGAACAUCCUUGGAUCCGAGAGAGGAACUUAUACGAGCGAGACAGUCGCAUCCAGAUCGGAAGGAGGUAUACUCACACUUGCGGAUGGUAACACCAGAUUCAAGCGAGGAAGGUUCAAAAGCACGACAAAUGCACCCAGAGUAUAGUGAGGAAAUUGCACCCACAAGACAUAGUUCCCUAAAUAAAGAUCCUAAACAGGAAAUAUCGCAAGCGCGACAGUUGCAAAAAGGGCCGGAAGAAGAAAUUCCUCGCGCACGACAAAUUCACUCAGAGCCUGAAGAGGUUUCAUCUACAAGACAAGUUCUUAGGAACGAUAUUCCAAACACAAUCAAUCGUACUAAAAUAAUAUCCAGGUUCGAGAGUAUUCAAACCCACAAGAUGGUUUGAUGUCGAAAGCUGAAAGGAUAGUAGCUCAUUUACGGAGUAUUUUCGACGAAGAAGAUGAUGAUGAUGAUGAUGAUGAAGACGACUCAGAAUUCGAGAGGGUUCAGAACCAAACCGAUGAUCAUCCCGAUACGCAGCCGUCACCGGUAGCUGGUGCAGACGACUACGUAAGAAGGGUCUCCAAAGCGGUCGAAGAGGCGGAACAUCGUAAAUCCGGGUCCAAAAGAGCGAAAAGGAGUCCACAAAGUCCGAUGAGGAUGCUGUACGAGCUGGAGGAAGAUGAGUUUUCACCGAGGCUUCUCGAGUCAGAAAUUUUCAGUCAGCCUCAAGAAGGUGUGCGGCGACAAAAACGCGUCCAAGUCGCUUCAGAGGAUGUUCUCUUUAGGCCGGAGAGAUUUAGGCCAGACUUUCUUGACAGAGAUGACUAUGAGGACGAAAACCAGGACCCUAAAGUUGAGAAGUUUCCGGUAUAUGAGGAGCCACAACUAAAGGUCGUUCAGAUUGGAGGCGCUUCCCUCAAGCCCAACAGAAACAAGACCCAGGGUGUGUCACAUAAAACAACCCCAGUGAACGACGAUGAAAAUAGCUCUCAUUUCAUGCGGCCGACCCCUGGGAUUUACCGAGAGCCACAGAUAGUUAAAGUUGAUGAAGGAAAUAACAAAGAAGAACAGAUCACGAGCGAAGUUCCAAAAAAACCGCGGAGCGUCACUCGAGGGUGAGCCACUAGAUAGCGCUGGAGGACAAACUCAGAACGAAAUCUCUACCCAGCGUGAGGAAGUCAAAAAAUCAAAUCUUGAAGUAACCAAACCUAACCAGCGGAAAUUCGACGUGACAGAGUGCUUGAACCAUCUCCGCAGGAAGUAUCUUCAAAGACUCAGGGGUGAUGCUUUACCGUUCGUUUCAAAAAUUGGCGGAAGGAAUCCCUUACCAGUGGACGCAGAGGAAUUGUAUAGAGUGCGGAGGGAUGGAAUGGCGGAGAUGUUCAGCGGUCAAUCGAUCGAACGAGUUUGUCUCGAGUUCGGGAAUAAAAUAGAGCAGGAGCUGGAAUUUGAGCUCGCUAGCAAGCUCAUAGAAGUGUUUAAAAGAGGGAGGAGGCUAUUUUUACACCGCCGCUUCCUCCACAUCCUGAUGAAGAUAUAAUCCUGGAUGAGGAUCAAGCUCGGGAGCAUGAAUGGCUGGCAGCACGAGAGAGUGGGGACAGAAACGGCUCCAUUU
rnacentral:lncRNA from 1 species